UCCGGCUUAUCACCGGCGGUUUCUUUAGAGUGCCCAACUAAAUGAUGGCAACUAAAGACGAGGGUUGCGCUCGUUGCGGGACUUAACCCAACAUCUCACGACACGAGCUGACGACAGCCAUGCAGCACCUGUGUUCUAGCCAGCCGAACUGAAGGAAUCCAUCUCUGGAAUCCAAACCGGGCAUGUCAAACGCUGGUAAGGUUCUGCGCGUUGCCUCGAAUUAAACCACAUGCUCCACCGCUUGUGCAGGCCCCCGUCAAUUUCUUUGAGUUUUAACCUUGCGGCCGUACUCCCCAGGCGGAUAACUUAAUGCGUUAGCUGCGCCACCGAAACCCUAUGGGCUCCGACAGCUAGUUAUCUUCGUUUACGGCGUGGACUAC
rnacentral:misc_RNA from 1 species